rnacentral:ncRNA from 1 species
UGCGAUGAGUUGACUCUAACCAAGUGACUUCGGUCAUUUCGCUGCGGCGACAAGUGGUUAGAAUUUAGAUAAGGCACACCGUACUUUUAGUACAACUGCAAGAUGCAGGUGUUUGGACCCCUCUGUUUUGUGGAAUUC